UCACAAGGAACGUAGUGGCUUUAGAUCCC
rnacentral:piRNA from 1 species